rnacentral:rRNA from 1 species
GAGACAGGUGGUGCAUGGUUGUCGUCAGCUCGUGUCGUGAGAUGUUGGGUUAAGUCCCGCAACGAGCGCAACCCUUGUCAUUAGUUGCCAUCAUUCAGUUGGGCACUCUAAUGAGACUGCCGGGAUAACUCGGAGGAAGGUGGGGAUGACGUCAAAUCAUCAUGCCCCUUAUGUUCUGGGCUACACACGUGCUACAAUGGUCGGUACAAAGAGAAGCAAGACGGUGACGUGGAGCCAAUCUCAAAAGCCGAUCCCAGUUCGGAUUGUAGGCUGCAACUCGCCUACAUGAAGUUGGAGUUGCUAGUAAUCGCAGAUCAGAAUGCUGCGGUGAAUGCGUUCCCGGGUCUUGUACACACCGCCCGUCACACCAUGGAAGUUGGGGGCGCCCGAAGUUGGUCGAUAAAUAGAUUACCUAAGGCGAAACUAAUAACUAGGGUGAAGUCGUAACAAGGUAGCCGUAUCGGAAGGUGCGGCUGGAUCACCUCCUUUCUGUAU